AGUGGAAUUACUGGGUCAUAUGGUACUUCUGUGUUUAACUUUUUAAGAAAUUGCCAAAUUGCUUUCCAAAGUGGCUAUACCACUUAACAUUUCCACCAGCAAU
rnacentral:pre_miRNA from 1 species